AAAAAUUCUAAACAAGCUACAUUGAUUCAGUUUUCGUUGUUCGUUUUGUUCUUAUUCGCUGACAUUUGUUUUCUAAUUGCUUGAAAUUUGGUAAUUUCCUUAGUGUUUUCCUGGCCGACCUGUGCUGGUAUUGUAAUUAAGAGCUAAUACACCUGCGGCCGAAUUUGAUUGUGUGCAUCAUCCUGCAGAUAUUUUGAAGUAAGUUGGAACCAGCUCUUUGUUAUUUCAAAACCUAAUGAACCAUUUAUUCGCAGAUUU